CAGAAAGACUUAAGAAGUAGGAUAUUAGCCUCAUAAUAGAGCCGCAGGAAACCAUAGGGUCCAGCUCUUCCAGAAGAUCGUUGUGCCACAGAUCACAAAGGCAGGGAAAGAAAGGCAUUACCAGAAGGAAAGUAGUCCAACUCAAUGUCUUACGCAUCAGUGGCAUUUGAAUGAAAGCAGUAAGUCAGUGGCCAAGAAUCAUCGAU
rnacentral:lncRNA from 1 species